GCGGGAGUAGCUCAGCGGUAGAGCCCCUGCCUUCCAAGCAGGAUGUCGCGGGUUCAAAUCCCGUCUCCCGCU
rnacentral:tRNA from 1 species